rnacentral:rRNA from 1 species
GAUGAACGCUGGCGGCGUGCCUAAUACAUGCAAGUCGAGCGAACAGACGAGAGUGCUUGCACUCUCUGACGUUAGCGGCGGACGGGUGAGUAACACGUGGGUAACCUACCUAUAAGACUGGGAUAACUUCGGGAAACCGGAGCUAAUACCGGAUAAUAUUUAGCUUCGCAUGAAGCAAUAGUGAAAGACGGUUCUGCUGUCACUUAUAGAUGGACCCGCGGUGUAUUAGCUAGUUGGUGAGGUAACGGCUCACCAAGGCAACGAUACAUAGCCGACCUGAGAGGGUGAUCGGCCACACUGGGACUGAGACACGGCCCAGACUCCUACGGGAGGCAGCAGUAGGGAAUCUUCCGCAAUGGACGAAAGUCUGACGGAGCAACGCCGCGUGAGUGAAGAAGGUUUUCGGAUCGUAAAACUCUGUUGUAAGGGAAGAACAAGUACGUUAGUAACUGAACGUACCUUGACGGUA